AGUGAACGCUGGCGGUAGGCCUAACACAUGCAAGUCGAACGGCAGCACAGUAAGAGCUUGCUCUUACGGGUGGCGAGUGGCGGACGGGUGAGGAAUACAUCGGAAUCUACUUUUUCGUGGGGGAUAACGUAGGGAGACUUACGCUAAUACCGCAUACGACCUACGGGUGAAAGCAGGGGAUCUUCGGACCUUGCGCGAUUGAAUGAGCCGAUGUCGGAUUAGCUAGUUGGCGGGGUAAAGGCCCACCAAGGCGACGAUCCGUAGCUGGUCUGAGAGGAUGAUCAGCCACACUGGAACCGAGACACGGUCCAGACUCCUACGGGAGGCAGCAGUGGGGAAUAUUGGACAAUGGGCGCAAGCCUGAUCCAGCCAUACCGCGUGGGUGAAGAAGGCCUUCGGGUUGUAAAGCCCUUUUGUUGGGAAAGAAAAGCAGCAGGUUAAUACCCCGCUGUUCUGACGGUACCCAAAGAAUAAGCACCGGCUAACUUCGUG
rnacentral:rRNA from 1 species